rnacentral:rRNA from 1 species
CGCGUAGGUGGUAGUGUAAGUCUGGGGUGGAAUCCCAGGGCUUAACCCUGGAACUGCCUUGGAAACUGUAUUACUUGAGUCAGUGAGGGGAGGGUAGAAUUCCUGGUGUAGCGGUGAAAUGCGUAGAUAUCAGGAGGAAGGCCUGUGGCGAAGGCGGCCCUCUGGCGCUGGACUGACACUGAGGCGCGAAAGCGUGGGGAGCAAACAGGAUUAGAUACCCUGGUAGUCCACGCCCUAAACGGUGGGCACUAGGUGUAGGGCUCGUAAGGGUUCUGUGCCGAAGGGAAACCAUUAAGUGCCCCGCCGGGGGAGUACGGCCGCAAGGUUGAA